GACGAACGCUGGCGGCGUGCCUAAUACAUGCAAGUUAAGCGCUGAAGGUUGGUACUUGUACCAACUGGAUGAGCAGCGAACGGGUGAGUAACGCGUGGGGAAUCUGCCUUUGAGCGGGGGACAACAUUUGGAAACGAAUGCUAAUACCGCAUAAAAACUUUAAACACAAGUUUUAAGUUUGAAAGAUGCAAUUGCAUCACUCAAAGAUGAUCCCGCGUUGUAUUAGCUAGUUGGUGAGGUAAAGGCUCACCAAGGCGAUGAUACAUAGCCGACCUGAGAGGGUGAUCGGCCACAUUGGGACUGAGACACGGCCCAAACUCCUACGGGAGGCAGCAGUAGGGAAUCUUCGGCAAUGGACGAAAGUCUGACCGAGCAACGCCGCGUGAGUGAAGAAGGUUUUCGGAUCGUAAAACUCUGUUGGUAGAGAAGAACGUUGGUGAGAGUGGAAAGCUCAUCAAGUGACGGUAACUACCCAGAAAGGGACGGCUAACUACGUG
rnacentral:rRNA from 1 species